UUCUCAUCACCAAGUUCUCUCUCUGUCUCACUGGGGUUCUAAUUUUGCAAAGGAGGAUGCGAAGAACUCGCCUUUUGUACAGAGGCACAAGAACUCUGGUGCAGGAAGUGGUGGUCAAGUUGCCAAAGAUGCUCUAGGAAACGAUGCAAUUGCAGCAGAAUGGCUUCAGACUCAUGGGCCUGGUGACAAGACUCUCUCACAUAUACCUAAAUGAGGAUAAAUCACGGUUUGCUCUAU